AGAAGACUCACCAUUUUCAGGGCAGCAUAAAUUCUUUUGGUUACCUUCCUCAACGCCUGCUUUGAAUGGAGAUUUAUCCUUAUUUUGCAGAGCAAAGGAAAAUACCCUUCAACUGUGACUUCUUCAUACAGAAGAAGAUCCAUACUGCAACACCAAAAUUACAGUUUUGCAGGCCAGGAGAGCUUUGAAGCCUAUAUCACAUUCUACAUUCUUUGAAGACUAGAACACAUUCUACUGAUUUUUUUUCUCCUCCUUUAUACUUUUUAAUAAAAUCUAGAAAUAUGUUAACAAAACAGUUCUACUACAGAUGUUUACCUCAAGUUGUAGCAAAAAUUGCAUGUUAUUAUACUGCACUUGUGAAAUAACAUAUGACCAUACAAUUAACAAUAGUAUUGUAAUGCACAUAUAUAUGGUUA